rnacentral:tRNA from 1 species
GGUUGUGGCUCAGAGGUAGAGCGCUUGCCUAGCAUGUGCAAGGCCCUGGGUUCGAUCCUCAACACCA